rnacentral:rRNA from 1 species
CCGAAGCUGCGGCAGCGACACUGUGUGUUGUUGGGUAGGGGAGCGUUCUGUAAGCCUGUGAAGGUGUGUCGUGAGGCAUGCUGGAGGUAUCAGAAGUGCGAAUGCUGACAUAAGUAACGAUAAAGCGGGUGAAAAGCCCGCUCGCCGGAAGACCAAGGGUUCCUGUCCAACGUUAAUCGGGGCAGGGUGAGUCGACCCCUAAGGCGAGGCCGAAAGGCGUAGUCGAUGGGAAACGGGUUAAUAUUCCCGUACUUGGUGUUACUGCGAAGGGGGGACGGAGAAGGCUAUGUUGGCCGGGCGACGGUUGUCCCGGUUUAAGCGUGUAGGUGUGUGUUCCAGGUAAAUCCGGUUCACUUUAACACUGAGGCGUGACGACGAGGCACUACGGUGCUGAAGCAACAAAUGCCCUGCUUCCAGGAAAAGCCUCUAAGCAUCAGGUAACAUCAAAUCGUACCCCAAACCGACACAGGUGGUCAGGUAGAGAAUACCAAGGCGCUUGAGAGAACUCGGGUGAAGGAACUAGGCAAAAUGGUGCCGUAACUUCGGGAGAAGGCACGCUGACACGUAGGUGAAGUGAUUUACUCAUGGAGCUGAAGUCAGUCGAAGAUACCAGCUGGCUGCAACUGUUUAUUAAAAACACAGCACUGUGCAAACACGAAAGUGGACGUAUACGGUGUGACGCCUGCCCGGUGCCGGAAGGUUAAUUGAUGGGGUCAGCGCAAGCGAAGCUCCUGAUCGAAGCCCCGGUAAACGGCGGCCGUAACUAUAACGGUCCUAAGGUAGCGAAAUUCCUUGUCGGGUAAGUUCCGACCUGCACGAAUGGCGUAAUGAUGGCCAGGCUGUCUCCACCCGAGACUCAGUGAAAUUGAACUCGCUGUGAAGAUGCAGUGUACCCGCGGCAAGACGGAAAGACCCCGUGAACCUUUACUAUAGCUUGACACUGAACAUUGAGCCUUGAUGUGUAGGAUAGGUGGGAGGCUUUGAAGUGUGGACGCCAGUCUGCAUGGAGCCGACCUUGAAAUACCACCCUUUAAUGUUUGAUGUUCUAACGUGGACCCGUUACCCGGGUUGCGGACAGUGUCUGGUGGGUAGUUUGACUGGGGCGGUCUCCUCC